rnacentral:rRNA from 1 species
GACGAACGCUGGCGGCGUGCUUAACACAUGCAAGUCGAACGGAAAGGCCCUGCUUUUGUGGGGUGCUCGAGUGGCGAACGGGUGAGUAACACGUGAGUAACCUGCCCUUGACUUUGGGAUAACUUCAGGAAACUGGGGCUAAUACCGGAUAGGAGCUCCUGCUGCAUGGUGGGGGUUGGAAAGUUUCGGCGGUUGGGGAUGGACUCGCGGCUUAUCAGCUUGUUGGUGGGGUAGUGGCUUACCAAGGCUUUGACGGGUAGCCGGCCUGAGAGGGUGACCGGCCACAUUGGGACUGAGAUACGGCGCAGACUCCUACGGGAGGCAGCAGUGGGGAAUAUUGCACAAUGGGCGGAAGCCUGAGGCAGCAACGCCGCGUGCGGGAGGACGGCCUUCGGGUUGUAAACCGCUUUCGCCUGUGACGAAGCGUGAGUGACGGUAAUGGGUAAAGAAGCACCGGCUAACUACGU